rnacentral:rRNA from 1 species
UUCGUCACACUAUCAUUAACUGAAUCCAUAGGUUAAUGAGGCGAACCGGGGGAACUGAAACAUCUAAGUACCCCGAGGAAAAGAAAUCAACCGAGAUUCCCCCAGUAGCGGCGAGCGAACGGGGAGCAGCCCAGAGCCUGAAUCAGUGUGUGUGUUAGUGGAAGCGUCUGGAAAGGCGCGCGAUACAGGGUGACAGCCCCGUACACAAAAAUGCACAUGCUGUGAGCUCGAUGAGUAGGGCGGGACACGUGGUAUCCUGUCUGAAUAUGGGGGGACCAUCCUCCAAGGCUAAAUACUCCUGACUGACCGAUAGUGAACCAGUACCGUGAGGGAAAGGCGAAAAGAACCCCGGCGAGGGGAGUGAAAAAGAACCUGAAACCGUGUACGUACAAGCAGUGGGAGCACAGAGCAAUCUGUGUGACUGCGUACCUUUUGUAUAAUGGGUCAGCGACUUAUAUUCUGUAGCAAGGUUAACCGAAUAGGGGAGCCGAAGGGAAACCGAGUCUUAACUGGGCGUUAAGUUGCAGGGUAUAGACCCGAAACCCGGUGAUCUAGCCAUGGGCAGGUUGAAGGUUGGGUAACACUAACUGGAGGACCGAACCGACUAAUGUUGAAAAAUUAGCGGAUGACUUGUGGCUGGGGGUGAAAGGCCAAUCAAACCGGGAGAUAGCUGGUUCUCCCCGAAAGCUAUUUAGGUAGCGCCUCGUGAAUUCAUCUCCGGGGGUAGAGCACUGUUUCGGCAAGGGGGUCAUCCCGACUUACCAACCCGAUGCAAACUGCGAAUACCGGAGAAUGUUAUCACGGGAGACACACGGCGGGUGCUAACGUCCGUCGUGAAGAGGGAAACAACCCAGACCGCCAGCUAAGGUCCCAAAGUCAUGGUUAAGUGGGAAACGAUGUGGGAAGGCCCAGACAGCCAGGAUGUUGGCUUAGAAGCAGCCAUCAUUUAAAGAAAGCGUAAUAGCUCACUGGUCGAGUCGGCCUGCGCGGAAGAUGUAACGGGGCUAAACCAUGCACCGAAGCUGCGGCAGCGACGCUUAUGCGUUGUUGGGUA